UUGAAGAUAGAUUGAUAUGGGAACGAAUAUAGAUCAUGAAAAAUCAAUUAUCUUAGAUUAAGUUUAGUGUGUGGGUGAAAAAGUUUGCACAUACUGAUAUAUAACUAACAAAUUAAUUUGCAGUGGGAAAAAAGAAGAAGUAUUCUACUGAGAUUUCUACGAUGAAUUAGUUUCCAGCUUCUGGUUUUUUCUUCGAUUAUGUAAGCCGGCAAUAGAAUGAGACUUUCAAGGCACUACAUAUAAAAAGGAAAAUAGUAGCAAGCAAGAGCAGGUGUAUUUCUAUAGCGAACUCUUACAAUACGUAGAUCAUGCUGGCUACAAGUGGAAAAGUAACUUUGUGUUGAAAAGAGAAAUUAAAAGGAAAUUAAAUAACGAUGCUUCGAAACAAUACCAUA